rnacentral:rRNA from 1 species
AUGCAUGCAGGAGCCCACACGAUCGGGCAGGCGGCAUGCACCAACUUCAGGAGCCGGAUCUACGGCGAGACCAACAUCAACGCGGCGUACGCGGCGUCGCUGCAGGGUAACUGCACGCGGUCCGGCGGCGACGGUAACCUUGCACCGCUCGACGUGUCCACCCCAGACGCCUUCGACAACGCCUACUACGGCAACCUGGUCUCGCACCGCGGUUUCCUUCACUCCGACCAACAGCUCCUGAACGGCGGCUCCACCGACGCUCUCGUUCGCACCUACGCGUCCAGCGCCGCGCAGUUUAAGCCCCCAGGGGUGCUCCUAACGAGCGCUUCAGGCGCCGGCUGGCUCUACCGGCGCUCGCUAGCGACGCCUUGCGGGCCGACCCACCAACCGAGUCAACAAAGCAAGCGUGAAAAAGAAAACAAUUCCUAA